GCCUGGGUGGCUCAGUCGGUUGAGCGUCUGACUUCAGCUCAGGUCACGAUCUCGCGGUCCGUGAGUUCGAGCCCCACGUCGGGCU
rfam:Felis catus isolate Cinnamon breed Abyssinian chromosome A3, whole genome shotgun sequence.